rnacentral:lncRNA from 1 species
AUAUAUUUCGAUCUCCACGCUAAACAUAAACAAAACCCUAAUGAGAGACAAACAAACCAAUACUAAAGGAAUAGAGAGAAUUCAGGUAAUCCUUCAAUUCUACUCCGUCUAUUCUUUCUACUUUAUUGCUUCUCUGCCAUUUUUGUCGGGGAUUAAUCACGUUUGAUUCAAUCCCUCUCACUGAUUUUUCUUCUGAUCAUUUUAAUAAUUUUUGAUUUCUUGCAAAGUAAUUACCCAGUUAUUGGGUUAUUGAUUAUCUAAUCCAAUUUUGUUGGUGUUCUAAAAUUUCGGUUUCUGGGUUUUGUUGUUUUGGUGAUAUUUGUGAUUUUACAAAUUGUGAUUCUAUUCCAUGGAUCAUAACUCUCGUGAUUUAGUGGUAAGUAUUAUGGCCAUCUUUUAUGUUUCCCAUAAUUGGUUUCCUUAUCAGGUUAUGCAAAUUGAAUGUGGAAGAGGGCAACUUUUGUGUUUUUUAAUUGCUUAUGUAAACUUGAGAAUUCUUAAAGCUAUAGCAAAGUAAAUUGAUAUUGAUAUAAUAUUUUCAUUGUCAAAUUUCUGGAAUUGCUGGACAUAAAAACUUAAAUGAAUCAAAAAGGGGAAUUCAGGCUGAUUACAUUUAAAAACAGAAGAAAAAAAAAGAGAAGAAGCUAGCUAUACAUUUAGUUAUACUCUACUAAACAUUUAAUCAAAUUGAGUCAUACAAGUAUGCAUAAAGAAAGCAUCCAUCACAUUUAUAGUACUAAAGUAAAGAACCACUUCAACAUGCUAUUUUUUAGAGAUGUUCAUCUGCAUCGAACUGCCAAAUCCCACUACUUUUGAGAAAAUUUGUGUCAAGUAAACCACCCAGGUCGAGGGUCUCAAAAACAUGCAACUAAAUUACAAUUCAUGAGUUCUGAAUCAUGACAAACAAAAUCCCAGCAUUUCUUAAGAAAACUAAGGGCCUUAUAGUUAGGUGAUGUGAUGGAGACCAAAGAGAUGAAGAUUCUAUUGAUAUUUCUAAUGGAUUUAUCUUGUGAUUAUAUUUGUGCUAUUUAUUUUAUCAGGUACUUAUUAUUAAAUAUUUUAAUGUAGGGAAAGUUGUAGGAAAAGUGGUAAGAAGUUAUUUUAGCAGUAGGAAGUUACUAAAGUGGUAGGAAGCUAAGAACCAGGGAUUCGUCCUGGAGUUGACUAAUUGCUGAAGUAGUUCACUGGGAUUUGCUAUUCCUAGAUUCGUCAAGAUUCACAUAUUCACAUAUUCCUAGAUUCGUCAAGAUUCACAUAUGCCUAGAUUUGCCUGAAGGAUUCGGUCAACAAGAAUCGUGCGAAUCUUGACCAAAAUAUCAUCACCGUUCGAGUUUGCUAGGUUGAGAUACGCUGCUUGUUUCGAUGGGAGUUACAGGAAGGGCAAUGUGGGUAAUUUUGCAAAAACAAAAAAAAACAAAAAUAAAUGGUAAACACUUACCUGCAUGAUCUGAAGCCCUAAUUGCAUCCACGACACGACCUUUGACUCCCUUUGAUGUUGUCUGGCUUCAAUGAUACGUUCACUCCUCCUCUCUCUUCUUAUUAUUCCUUUUCCCUCCUCCAUCUCCCUUCUCUUUCGUUCUCUGUUCUCUCUUUGCUGUGAGUGGCUGGUUUUUGUUGUUUGAUAGUAGUAGUUAUGUACUGCAAUCGUUUCUAUUCUAUUAUACAUUAUUACCGACUUUAAUGUUAAUACCAUAUUUUGGGUCCCUAAUUGGCUGACUGGUGAUGAUAUUUAAUGUUCAAAUACCCCAUGAAAUAUUUUAUAGUUGUAAUUUGCUUACUCUUUAUUAUAUUUAAUGUUUAAUACUUUAAUGGGCCAAUAUUUAUUAUUAGAAUAGGCUGAU